GGUCAGCUGACACAUCCCUGCCAAUCUCCGGCAGACCCUCCCUCCCAGACCCUCCCACCUCCUGGACAGCAUCCAUGUUGAAGCUGCCUUCAACAUGGAUGCUGUCCAGGAAGUAGGAGGGACUGGGAGGGAGGGUCUGCCGGAGAUUGGCAGGGAUGUGUCAGCUG